rnacentral:lncRNA from 1 species
AAACAGGGCUAGAUCUGAGCCCACAGGAAUGCUCUCCCCCUCCUCCUCCUCUGUUUGUGUGUGUGUUUGUGUGUGUGUGCCAAUUUCUGAUUAAUUAUGAUCCCUGACAGACCUUAUUAGGGUAGUUUGACCUGGGCUAAGACCUCUCAUCUGUCUUUGCUUUUUGCAGAAUUGGGGCAUAAUCACCUCCUGUGGGCAGUGAGCUUCACUUCUGACAAAUCAUUAACUUGCUCUCAGCUCCAGGAGCUUCCCUAAGUGUCACAGCCAGAAGGCCAAAGAGCAUGGCAUGGAUGUGUACAUCCCCUCCAGGGGCUGAAGCAGCUGCUGCACAGUAUCUGGUCUCUCCAUCACCUGCCAGACCUGCACCAGCUGUUUUACAGCUGUGGGGGUGCUCCCACCCCCUGUCCUUCAUACAUUAUUGACAGACAGGAGCCAUAGCCUCUUCUCCAUUACUAGUCCCAGACAAGUCCUACAACCUUCUCCCAAAGAUGUUUUUCCUCUGUUGUUCCACAGUGUUCUACAGUGAGCAAGACCCUGACAUUUCAUGAUUCAGGCAAUAAAUGACACAUAGUUAAAAAAUAUACGUGACCUGUCUAUCAUCUGCUGUUAGCCCAUUCCUUGCAAGGAGCGAGUGGCAGCUCUCCCCAACAGGUCUCAUACCUUGUCUCCUAGGUGCCUGCCUUCUUCAAUCCUCACCUCAUUUUAGAGCUGCUAAAACAUCAGUGGGUUUGUCUGAGCCAAAACCCCACACAAGACUAAAUUUUUGUUCCUCAGCUCCUUUGAUGCUUCCUGCUGCAGCCGUUCACAUGCAAGGUGCAAGUCAAAGGAUGGAGCAAGAUGGACCCUCUGCACAGUCUGGUACCCCAUGGGCAGUCCUGGAAGAGCUACAAACCAACACCUCCGAAGUAACAUAAGCCACUGAUGAAAGGAAAAGCCAUGUGUGGGUACCACAGGUGAGCAGCACAAGGAGUGUUAAAAGGUCCCCAGCAAGCACACCCUUGCUCAAGUUCCUAUCGGACGGAAAUUCAGUCUCAGGAGGAUUAAAUUUUAUUUCCUUGAGAUGUUUUACAGACAUAUGGUGCCAGUCUCAAAAUUUCAUGUCUGAAUCAUUUAUUUUAAAUAGAUAAAUAGAUAAAUGAUAGAUAAAUAUCUUCCUUCUAUCUCUCCUUUAUUCAGGUUUCCUUAGUGGGACAAGAACAAUUUUUUUUUUUAUUUUUAUUUUUAUUUUUAUUUUUAUUUUUAUUUUUAUUUUUAUUUUUAUUUUUAUUUUUAUUUUUAUUUUUAUUUUUAUUUUUAUUUUUAUUUUUAUUUUUAUUUUUA